AUGUCACAGAUUUCUGAAGUCCUGAUACCAACAUACCUCCCUUCUUAUUAUAAAGAGAAGAAAAAAGAAGAGGAGUAAGCCGAUGGUGAAAAGGGAAUAAGGGCACUGUGUCUCUUAAGCUGCUUCCUGUUAUCUAGGGCCGUCAUCAAUUUUGGGGUGUAGCUGACUUUUACCAUCAGGAUCCACUUGUCUAUAUAGAAAGUCAAGAAAGAAGAUGUGCAGCCAUUGAGGAACAAAGACAGCUCUCCCAACUGCUUCAGGUGGUGAGAGCUGAGUAGGGAGAGUGCCUCAUCUCCCUUCCCCUCCCUAUCCUCUCCCCCAACCUAUACACACCACCUGGAGGCAGACACACUCCCUUGACCAGGGCCAGCAUUACUGGCUGUGCAAUGAUUAUCAUUAAUAUCAAGUACACAGAAAUUAAAAUACAUUGAGAAAAGUCUAAUUAGAGAUGCUAAAAAUAUGUGUCUUGCGUUAUUUUUUAAUUUUAAAUACACUGUUAAAUAGUACCUGUGAGCUCAGACCUAGAUCCUGCAGCUCAGAAACCCUGAUUUGGCUUGUAGAUGACUCUGCUUUCUUAUCUGCUGUCGAGGGUUGAACUGUAUUCCUUCAAAAUUCAGACACUGAAGUUCUAACUCCCAGAACCACGUGAUGUGGCUGUAUUUGGAGAUAAAGUAUCAACAAAACUAAUUAAGGUUGAAUGAGGUCAUUGGAGCGGGCCUUAAUCAAAUGUGACUUGGUUCUUGCAGGGGAGAUUAAGACACAAAUAGGCACCAAUGGGUGGCUGAGUGGGACAGAGUGGAAGCAGAACCUGUGACAGCAAGGGGGGGACAAUUCAAAAGAAACCAUAUUUGCUCACUUUGAUUUGGGGUUCCCAUUCUGCAGAAAUGUGAGACAUUGACUCACAUUGCCUGGACAGGUUUUCAGGGCAGUCUUAACAGACUAACAUAUGUCAGAGGACUUGGGACAACAAUAGACUUGUAAGAGGCAAGAUGAACACAUGUUUGUAAUCCCAAUAACUGAGAGACUGAGUGCAGAGGAAUCAAAGUUUAUGGCCAUCCUUGGCCAUCCAGUGUAAGUGCAAAGCCAAACUGAGGACACCCCUUCUCAAAACAAAACAAAACAAAAACAAUCGAACAAUUCUGACUAGCAUUAACUGCCCACUACUGAGAUGAAAGUUCGGUGUGUGGCUGCUGCCUGAUCAACUCACUUACUAUAUGUUUUUACUUCAUUUUAAGUCAAGAGUUGCUCAGCCGGACAGAAUGAUAUUGCAACCAUAACUUUCGAUUUGGCUUUGAAUAUUAACUACCGACUGUUCAUCUGCCUUCCUAACACAGGCAGCCAGCCACCUUGAUGAAUGGCAGGCCCGUGCGGUUUCUCAUCCACAUGCGGUUGAAUUGCAGAUUGAGGAGUGCUGAGUGUGCUGAGUCCUCUGUGGCUGCUAUAGAUGGGACAAUGUGACACAGUUCUACCUAUGGAGCAGAGCUAGCAAGAUGUUCUCCCUGCCAACGUUACCAUGGAAUGCUCUCUCUGACAAGGUUGAUGGCUCCAUGACAAUUAGAAGCAACACAAAUCUGGAAGCCUGUCCUUGAUCCAGAUAUCCCUCCUCAGGAAGACGAACUCUCCAUAGGUCAUCCUCCAGCUGGGAUCUCUCUGCUCUAUGUUCUGUCUCUUCUUCUUCUUUUUUUUUUUUUGUACCUUCUUAAUAUACAGUUGAGUUUAACUUAAUAUAGUAAUUCAGUAGCUAUGUGCCAAGCUUUGAUGACUUUUUCUCUUCUAGCCCCAAAUUCCAGAAAAUUAAAAGCCAAAAAUAAAAACAAAAUCCUAUUAUCCUUUCCAAAUUAGUUAAUGUGAAUUGAAUUGACCCAAAUACCAUUUUCUGUUAUGAGAUAUUUCAAGUACAUUGAGAAUCACAAAAGAAGAAGAGGAAGGUGAAGAGGAUAAAGAGGAGGAGGAAAAUGAGGAGGAAAAAGAAGAGGAGAAUGAAGACGAGGAAGAAGAGGAGGAGGAGCGAAAAGAAAAGAAAAAAAAAGAAACCACAACAUAUGUAGCCUUGCCUCCUUCACUUUUCCUUUCCUUUCCUGGUAACAGAGUCAAGGGCAUACUAACACAGGAACUUUGAGCCACAUCCCAGGCCAGUAACCUAACUUCUAUCCAGCAUCAUAGACCCAUAGGGCAUGGGCAGAAGUCUUUAUGCUGCUAACAACUGUAAAUAGAACCAUUUGGUAUUAUAUACAUGCAAUUUUCUAGCUGAGAGCUGAUUGCAAAUUUAUGAACAUGGUAUCUGAAGAAGAAUACAAGAUCCUUAGUCAAGCUGGUAAUUGCAUACAACUAUCAACAUUGCUGUCAAU
rnacentral:lncRNA from 1 species